GACGAACGCUGGCGGCGUGCYUAAUACAUGCAAGUCGAGCGGACCGACGGGAGCUUGCUCCCUUAGGUCAGCGGCGGACGGGUGAGUAACACGUGGGUAACCUGCCUGUAAGACUGGGAUAACUCCGGGAAACCGGGGCUAAUACCGGAUGCUUGAUUGAACCGCAUGGUUCAAUCAUAAAAGGUGGCUUUUAGCUACCACUURCAGAUGGACCCGCGGCGCAUUAGCUAGUUGGUGAGGUAACGGCUCACCAAGGCGACGAUGCGUAGCCGACCUGAGAGGGUGAUCGGCCACACUGGGACUGAGACACGGCCCAGACUCCUACGGGAGGCAGCAGUAGGGAAUCUUCCGCAAUGGACGAAAGUCUGACGGAGCAACGCCGCGUGAGU
rnacentral:rRNA from 1 species